rnacentral:misc_RNA from 1 species
CUUGGUGCGUGUGGGCAUGUCGGAUCCCUGCUUUGGCAGNGACGGCAUGCAGCGCGCUCCUCCUCAGUUGAUGUUGGUCCAAGCGCGUAUUUGCCUUGGCCGCUGUUGGUUUUCUGUGUUGCAUACCAGUUUGAAGGUACCCGUUGGCCCAAACGUCCAUUUUCCGUCAUGCACUGCGCCCAUACUGGGUCGCGGUGUGGGGCGGACCACGAAGACCCGCCGAGUUCCGCGUACCUCGCGCCGGAAAUAGCGCGUAGACGUUGGCCCCCGACGAUGUGCUUGUUCUCUUGGAUGCGGAAAAUCAUGUGGCAUGCGGCCCUCAGCCGCUAUCUGCCCCAAAAUAAGCGUUUCACGCUUCUUGCGAACGACAUCCGNCCCCGUCGCGAUCGGACCCUUGUGGCUCCUGUCGUACGGUGUCGGCGUCGGUGAGGAA